GCGCCCGGAGCCCGGGGAUUCCCAGGGUGGGGGGCAGUGCCGAGAAGGGCCCCGCCCCCUCCUCUUCCCUGAGACUCCUACUGGGAAACUGAGUCACAGACAGCCGCCUUCGCCCGGACCUUAGAGGGAAGAGAUCCUCGGCAAAGCCCCACACAGAUCCAACGAACCCCGCGCCCCGGGCGCCCAGAACUCGGCCCGCACGCCCCUGGGACAGCCCCGGAGCCUCCGCAGCCCCAGACGGGGUCCUACCUCUCUUCUUGGCGCUCAUGGACUGCCCUGCUCCCCGAGAUGUCAUUGCUGAAUUGAGUCAGGAUUCUGGAGGGCCCAAAGGACUCUGACCAGCAGAGAGUUGCGAAGCAAAACAGAGGGAUGGCUCAUGGACAGUGAGUUAAUCAGGCUUAAAUGAAGUCUGAAGAACAAUGCUGGAGGAGUCCAAUAACUCUUAUCAUCAUCUUCAUAGUCAUCGUCAACAACAGAGGGAGUCGAAGCCAGUUUUGGCACUGGAUACAGUAUUCUGGAUUUACCUGAUUGCUUCCUCAAGAUCAGAUUCGUGGUAAACCAUGCUGAAUGCAGAGUUCACAUACCGCAACUAAAGAUCCCACAUGCUGCAAUGAAGAUUAAAGAUUCUGCAUGCCAGAACUAAGACCUCGUGAAGCCAAGUAAAUAAAUAAAAUGACCCAUUUAAAAAAAUAAUCAAA